rnacentral:rRNA from 1 species
AUUGAACGCUGGCGGCAUGCCUUACACAUGCAAGUCGAACGGCAGCACGGGUGCUUGCACCUGGUGGCGCGUGGCGAACGGGUGAGUAAUAUAUCGGAACGUACCUUAUUGUGGGGGAUAACGCAGCGAAAGCUGUGCUAAUACCGCAUAAUCCCUAAGGGGGAAAGCGGGGGACCGUAAGGCCUCGCGCAAUUAGAGCGGCCGAUACCUGAUUAGCUAGUUGGUGAGGUAAAGGCUCACCAAGGCAACGAUCAGUAGCUGGUCUGAGAGGACGAUCAGCCACACUGGGACUGAGACACGGCCCAGACUCCUACGGGAGGCAGCAGUGGGGAAUUUUGGACAGUGGGGGCAACCCUGAUCCAGCAAUGCCGCGUGAGUGAAGAAGGCCUUCGGGUUGUAAAGCUCUUUUGUCAGGGAAGAAACAGCAGCUCUAACACAGUAUGCGAAUGACGGUACCUGAAGAAUAAGCACCGGCUAACUACGUGCCAGCCGCCGCAGUAA